rnacentral:rRNA from 1 species
GAUGAACGCUGGCGGCGUGCCUAACACAUGCAAGUCGAACGCCCCGCAAGGGGAGUGGCAGACGGGUGAGUAACGCGUGGGAACAUACCCUUUCCUGCGGAAUAGCUCCGGGAAACUGGAAUUAAUACCGCAUACGCCCUACGGGGGAAAGAUUUAUCGGGGAAGGAUUGGCCCGCGUUGGAUUAGCUAGUUGGUGGGGUAAAGGCCUACCAAGGCGACGAUCCAUAGCUGGUCUGAGAGGAUGAUCAGCCACAUUGGGACUGAGACACGGCCCAAACUCCUACGGGAGGCAGCAGUGGGGAAUAUUGGACAAUGGGCGCAAGCCUGAUCCAGCCAUGCCGCGUGAGUGAUGAAGGCCUUAGGGUUGUAAAGCUCUUUCACCGAUGAAGAUAAUGACGGUAGUCGGAGAAGAAGCCCCGGCUAACUUCGUGCCAGCCGCCGCAGUAA